rnacentral:SRP_RNA from 1 species
AAUAAUAUUGCACAACAGGAAUGUUAGAACCAGGUCAGGCUCGAGAGAUAGCAGCCUUAAUAACCUCUUUCUGUGUGUGCUUUUAUUUUAUAU